rnacentral:rRNA from 1 species
GAUGAACGCUAGCGGCAGGCUUAACACAUGCAAGUCGAGGGGCAGCACAGGUAGCAAUACCGGGUGGCGACCGGCAAACGGGUGCGGAACACGUACAGAACCUACCUUGAUCUGGGGCAUAGCCCGAAGAAAUUCGGAUUAACUCCCCAUAACAUAGACGAGUGGCAUCACUUAACUAUUAAAAUUUAUUGGAUCGAGAUGGCUGUGCGUCCCAUUAGCUAGUUGGUAGGGAACGGCCUACCAAGGCGACGAUGGGUAGCUGGUGUGAGAGCACGACCAGCCACACGGGCACUGAGACACGGGCCCGACUCCUACGGGAGGCAGCAGUGAGGAAUAUUGGUCAAUGGACGCAAGUCUGAACCAGCCAU